rnacentral:rRNA from 1 species
UACAGAGGGUGCGAGCGUUAAUCGGAAUUACUGGGCGUAAAGGGCGCGUAGGCGGUUAUAUGAGUGUGAUGUGAAAGCCCCGGGCUUAACCUGGGAAGUGCAUCGCAAACGAUAUAACUGGAGUAGAUGAGAGGGUGGCGGAAUUUCCGGUGUAGCGGUGAAAUGCGUAGAGAUCGGAAGGAACGUCGAUGGCGAAGGCAGCCACCUGGCAUCAUACUGACGCUGGAGGCGCGAAAGCGUGGGGAGCGAACAGG